rnacentral:lncRNA from 1 species
GUCUUCUCCAACCACACCGGAACCAUCACGCACCACCGUUCGCCCUCACCUUCGCCUCCGGUCUCCGACAUCAGUUCCAAAUAAUUUACACAACCACAAAUUCACUCAGUUUAACGAAGCUUCCAAUUCGUGAUUUUGCUUUACUGAUUCCGUUUUAUUCAGGUUAUGUGUUAGAUUUGGAUAUCUGACCUGGCCACACGCAUACUUCAAGGAACUCUUUAAUCGGUUACGACUUUCAUGGAUUUAGGAUUUGUGUGUGUUUUGAAUUGAUUCGACGGUCAUUUGGGUGUAUGUUCUAUAUGAAUUUCCGCUUAUGCUGUGGGUUUUGGACGUUAAGCUUUUUAAUUUCUAUUUACCUUACAAUACUUUAUCUAUAGAUUACUUUUCUUUUUUUCUCAUUUUAAGUAUUUUUGGUUGCUAA